rnacentral:rRNA from 1 species
AUUGAACGCUGGCGGAAUGCUUUACACAUGCAAGUCGAGCGGCAGCACGGGGGCAACCCUGGUGGCGAGCGGCGAACGGGUGAGUAACACAUCGGAACAUGCCCAGUCGUGGGGGAUAACACUUCGAAAGAAGUGCUAAUACCGCAUACGUCCUGAGGGAGAAAGCGGGGGAUCGCAAGACCUCGCGCGAUUGGAGUGGCCGAUGUCAGAUUAGCUAGUUGGUGGGGUAAAGGCCUACCAAGGCAACGAUCUGUAGCUGGUCUGAGAGGAUGAUCAGCCAAAGUGCGACUGGGAAACGGACCAGACCCCGACGGGAGGGAGCAGGGGGGGAGUUUGGAAAAGGGGGGUAAACCCGAUCCCGCCACUCCGCGGGAGGGAAGAAGGUCCUCGGGUUUGAAAGCUACUUCCGCAGGGACGAAAAGGUGGGCCCUAACAUAGCUUGCUAAUGACGGUACCUGAAGAAGAAGCACCGGCUAACUACGUG